rnacentral:rRNA from 1 species
AGCAGCCGCGGUAAUUCCAGCUCCAAUAGCGUAUAUUAAAGUUGUUGCAGUUAAAAAGCUCGUAGUUGAAUUUCGGGGUCAAUACGUCGGUCGUGCCUCGGUACGCACUAACGUUAUUGAUUCCUCCCUUCUGACGAACCGUGAUGUCAUUAAUUUGGUGUUGCGGGGAAUCAGGACUGUUACCUUGAAAAAAUUAGAGUGUUUAAAGCAGGCAAUCGCUCGAAUACAUUAGCAUGGAAUAAUGAAAUAGGACGUUCGAACCUAUUUUGUUGGUUUCUAGGAUCGACGUAAUGAUUAAUAGGGAUAGUUGGGGGCAUUAGUAUUCAAUUGUCAGAGGUGAAAUUCUUGGAUUUAUUGAAGACUAACUACUGCGAAAGCAUUUGCCAAGGAUGUUUUCAUUAAUCAAGAACGAAAGUUAGGGGAUCGAAGACGAGUCAGAUACCGUCGUAG